ACGGCGAGUGAACGGGGAAGAGCCCAGCGCUAAAUCCGGCUGUUCUAACGGGUAGCCGGAGGUGUAGCGUAUAGUAGGCGAACCAUCCUUAGUGGCUGUCGACUUAAGUUCUCCUUGACUGGGGUUCCAAAGAAGGUGAAAGGCCUGUUCAGUCGAUGGCCAUCUUGGAUUCCGUACUACUUGGAGUCGGGUUGUUUGGGAACGCAGCCCAAAUUGGGUGGUAAACUUCACCUAAGGCUAAAUACGGCCACGAAACCGAUAGCAAACAAGUACCGUGAGGGAAGGUUGAAAAGUACUUUGAAGAGAGAGUUCAAGAGGACGUGAAACCGGUAGGAUGGAAACGGAUAGAGCCAACGAACAAGUCCGUAUUCAGCUAGUCGGCUGCGUGCAGCGUGGUCGUGUGCUCGAUAGGGUGCAUGGCUGUGUGUGGUAUGCGGUCGGGUAGUGCAUUUGCGGGCGAUGUGCGCCGAGGCGUGUGGUGGAGCAAUAUGAACCGUGUGGAGAGGCCUCGCCGUUCGCGCGGCUUGGUACCUACACGCGGGGAGUGUCGUUUUCGCUGCACGUAGUCGGUGGUCAGGUACAGACGCGUUGUCGUAGUGCCGGGCUAGCUUUCGGGUAAGUCGCAUGCGACAAGCCCGGAUGUUUGGUCUUGGUGGUGCGGCAGUGCCCUGGCCGGUCCUCGGUGUAAAAGUUGGUCAUCUCUCCGACCCGUCUUGAAACACGGACCAAGGAGUCUAGCGUAUGCGCGAGUCAUUGGGUGGAAAACCCAUAGGCGAAAUGAAAGUGAAUGGCUCUUUUCGGAGUCUGAUAUGCGAUCCGUAGCGUUGCGGCGCCGCGGAGCAGCAUAGCCCCAUCUCGACUGCUUGCAGUGGGGUGGAGGUAGAGCGUAUUCGCUGGUACCCGAAAGAUGGUGAACUAUGCCUGAGCAGGAUGAAGCCAGAGGAAACUCUGGUGGAGGUCCGAAGCGCUUCUGACGUGCAAAUCGAUCGUCUGACUUGGGUAUAGGGGCGAAAGA
rnacentral:rRNA from 1 species